UUUGUUACUUCAAACCAAUCGGACUUCGGUCUGACAUCAAGUGAUAUUGAACAAUUUAGCUGAUCGCACGGUCUAAGAACCGGCGACAUAUCCUUCAAAUGUCUGCCUUAUCAACUUUCGAUGGUAGAUUAUGCGCCUACCAUGGUUGUAACGGGUAACGGAGAAUCAGGGUUUGAUUCCGGAGAGGGAGCCUGAGAAACGGCUACCACAUCCAAGGAAGGCAGCAGGCACGCAAAUUACCCACUCCCGGCACGGGGAGGUAGUGACGAAAAAUAACAAGCUGGUCUCAAUGAGUUCCAGCAUUGUAAUGGGAACAAUUUAAAUCUUUUAUCGAGGAUCUAUUGGAGGGCAAGUCUGGUGCCAGCAGCCGCGGUAAUUCCAGCUCCAAUAGCGUAUAUUAAAGUUGUUGCAGUUAAAAAGCUCGUAGUCGGACCUCGGAUCCCGGCUCGCGGUCCACCUCGCGGUGGUUACUGCCCGUCCGGAUCUACCUGCCGGUUUUCCCUUGGUGCUCUUGACUGAGUGUCUCGGGUGGCCGGAACGUUUACUUUGAAAAAAUUAGAGUGUUCAAAGCAGGCG
rnacentral:rRNA from 1 species